GCCCAGUCUCUUCAUUUUACCUCCUUUCCUCACCUCUCUCCAUCUCUCUAAAGAGUGUGUGAAAAUUUUAUGAAUAACUUUCUGGCAAUGCUGGCUCAGAGGACAUGUGGGAUCCUGGGAAGAAGCAUCUUUCAGAGAGGUCACUGCAUAUCCCAGAAUCAUCAGAGACUGCAUAUGUCACAGCUGAAACUGGAGGGUCUGCCCAAGGUUACACCUUCAGUCACCCUGUUUCCACCAUCCUCUGAGGA